UACAGAGGGUGCAAGCGUUAAUCGGAAUUACUGGGCGUAAAGAGCGCGUAGGCGGUUAAGUAAGUCAGAUGUGAAAUGCCAGGGCUCAACCUUGGACUGCCAUUUGAUACUGCUUAACUAGAGUUUAGUAGAGGGAAGUGGAAUUUCCGGUGUAGCGGUGGAAUGCGUAGAUAUCGGAAGGAACACCAGUGGCGAAGGCG
rnacentral:rRNA from 1 species